AUCAUUACCGAGCGUGGGUCCCCUGUGGCCCCCUUUCCCGGGGGCCCGGGGUUGACCCUAGACCUCCCACCCUUGUCGAUUGUACCGUGUUGCUUCGGCGGGCCCGCCAUCGGCCGCCGGGGGGCUCGUGACUUGUGCGCGUUGCCCCCGGGCCCGUGCCCGCCGGAGACCUCCCUCGAAAUGCUACCGUGGUCUGAAAUGCUGUCUGAGUGGGAAUGAUGUGAGAAAUUGAUCAGUCAAAACUUUCAACAAUGGAUCUCUUGGUUCCGGCAUCGAUGAAGAACGCAGCGAAAUGCGAUAAGUAAUGCGAAUUGCAGAAUUCCGUGAGUCAUCGAAUCUUUGAACGCACAUUGCGCCCCCCGGCUGCCCGGGGGGCAUGCCUGUCCGAGCGUCAUUGCCAUCCCCUCAAGCUCCGCUUGGCUGGUUGGGUCGACGUCCACCCGUGGCCAUUGUGCCAGGGGGGACGGACCCGAAAGGCAGUGGCGGCUCCCGGAGGGUGGUCCCUUGGGGCGGUGAGACAUGGGUUGUCAUCUUCCACCGCUCUGUUGGCCACGCUCCGGGGGUCUGUCGAACGAUUGGUCUUCCCCUUUAGGUUGACCUCGGAUCAGGUAGGGAUACCCGCUGAACUUAAGCAUAUCAAUAAGCGGAGGAAAAGAAACCAACCGGGAUUGCCUCAGUAACGGCGAGUGAAGCGGCAACAGCUCAAAUUUGAAAUCUGGCCCCCCUUAGGGGUCCGAGUUGUAAUUUGGAGAGGAUGCUUCGGGUUCGGUCCCGGUCCAAGUGCCCUGGGACGGGCCGUCGGAGAGGGUGAGAAUCCCGUCUGCGACCGGUGACUGGGCCUGGGUGAAGCUCCCUCGACGAGUCGAGUUGUUUGGGAAUGCAGCUCUAAAUGGGUGGUAAAUUUCAUCUAAAGCUAAAUAUUGGCCAGAGACCGAUAGCGCACAAGUAGAGUGAUCGAAAGAUGAAAAGCACUUUGGAAAGAGAGUCAAACAGCACGUGAAAUUGUUGAAAGGGAAGCGCUUGCGAUCAGACUCGCCCGGGGAGGUUCAGCUGGCACUUGUGCCGGUGCAUUGCUACCCGGGCGGGCCAGCGUCGGUUCGGACGGCCUGUCAAAGGCCCCCGGAAGGUAGCGCCCCUUGGGGCGUCUUAUAGCCGGGGGUGUCAUGCGGCCUGUCCGGACCGAGGAACGCGCCUUUGGGCUCGGACGCUGGCGUAAUGGUCGUAAGCGGCCCGUCUUGAAACACGGACCAAGGAGUCUAACAUCCACGCGAGUGUUCGGGUGUUCAAAACCCGUCCGCGCAGUGAAAGCGAACGGAGGUGGGAACCCCCUUGGGGUGCACCAUCGACCGAUCCUGAUGUCUUCGGAUGGAUUUGAGUAGGAGCGUGGCUGUUGGGACCCGAAAGAUGGUGAACUAUGCCUGAAUAGGGCGAAGCCAGAGGAAACUCUGGUGGAGGCUCGCAG
rnacentral:rRNA from 1 species